rnacentral:rRNA from 1 species
UACGUAGGUCCCGAGCGUUGUCCGGAUUUAUUAGGCGUAAAGCGAGCGCAGGUGGUUUAUUAAGUCUGGUGUAAAAGGCAGUGGCUCAACCAUUGUAUGCAUUGGAAACUGGUAGACUUGAGUGCAGGAGAGGAGAGUGGAAUUCCAUGUGUAGCGGUGAAAUGCGUAGAUAUAUGGAGGAACACCGGUGGCGAAAGCGGCUCUCUGGCCUGUAACUGACACUGAGGCUCGAGAGCGUGGGGAGCAAACAGG